ACCUGGUUAGCUCAGCCAGUAGAGCAUGAGCCUCUUGAUCUCAGGGUUGUGAGUUUGAGCCCCACGUUGGGUG
rfam:Felis catus isolate Cinnamon breed Abyssinian chromosome E2, whole genome shotgun sequence.